GUGCUCAUUUUGAUAAUAUACAUACUAAAAUUGGAAUGAUACAGAGAAGAUUAACAUGGCCACAAAAAUGACUACAAAUGCAUGAAGUGUUCCAUAUUUUU
ensembl:snRNA U6 U6 spliceosomal RNA